GCCAAUACGUCUUAAUAGUAUACAAUCAUAAAACUCUAUAGGAAGUUGCGGUAGACGCACCCAAACAGCCGUGUAAGUUAAUUUGGAUUUUUCUGGGUUGAAAUUAGGAACCCAUCUUUGAAUUGAUAAGAAAUGACCAUUAAUGAACCACGGGCCAUUUUGCUGGACAUAAGAGCGUUAUCCUCGUCUGCUAGUUUUACCGUGAAAAAAUCUGACCUAGAUCAAUGAUUGAAAAAUUUUCGGGUAGCCGCCAGAGAGCUUGGAUUUUCUGCUUUUAAGUA
rnacentral:misc_RNA from 1 species